GGAGUGUUUAUGUAAAGGAAAAAGCUUCUAACUUUUGCCUAAGCGGUUAAAUUCCGUUUACACUCUU
rnacentral:tRNA from 1 species